ACAAUGGAGAGUUUGAUCAUGGCUCAGGACGAACGCUGGCGGCGUGCUUCAUACAUGCAAGUCGAACGAGAAUCUCUAGCUUGCUAGAGAGGAAAGUGGCGGACGGGUGAGUAAAAUGUAGGUAAUCUGCCUUUAAGCGGGGGACAACAGUUGGAAACGAUUGCUAAUACCCCAUAUGAGAUUAGUUGAGAUAUUAAUCUUGAAAACUCCGGUGCUUAGAGAUGAGCCUGCAUCUGAUUAGCUAGUUGGGGGUGUAAUGGACCACCAAGGCGACGAUC
rnacentral:rRNA from 1 species